rnacentral:rRNA from 1 species
GACGAACGCUGGCGGCGUGCCUAAUACAUGCAAGUAGAACGCACAGUUUAUACCGUAGCUUGCUACACCAUAGACUGUGAGUUGCGAACGUGUGAGUAACGCGUAGGUAACCUGCCUGGUAGCGGGGGAUAACUAUUGGCAACGAUAGCUAAUACCGCAUAAUAUUAAUUAUUGCAUGAUAAUUAAUUGAAAGGUGCAAUUGCACCACUACCAGAUGGACCUGCGUUGUAUUAGCUAGUAGGUGAGGUAACGGCUCACCUAGGCGACGAUACAUAGCCGACCUGGGAGGGUGAGCGGCCACACUGGGACUGAGACACGGCCCAGACUCCUACGGGAGGCAGCAGUAGGGAAUAUUCGGCAAUGGACGAAAGUCUGACCGAGCAACGCCGCGUGAGUGAAGAAGGUUUUCGGAUCGUAAAGCUCUGUUGUAAGAGAAGAACGGGUGUGAGAGUGGAAAGUUCACACUGUGACGGUAUCUUACCAGAAAGGGACGGCUAACUACGUG